UAGGGAAUCUUCCGCAAUGGGCGAAAGCCUGACGGAGCAACGCCGCGUGAGUGAUGAAGGUUUUCGGAUCGUAAAACUCUGUUAUUAGGGAAGAACAAAUGUGUAAGUAACUAUGCACGUCUUGACGGUACCUAAUCAGAAAGCCACGGCUAACUACGUGCCAGCAGCCGCGGUAAUACGUAGGUGGCAAGCGUUAUCCGGAAUUAUUGGGCGUAAAGCGCGCGUAGGCGGUUUUUUAAGUCUGAUGUGAAAGCCCACGGCGCAACCGUAGGGGGUCAUUGGAAACUGGAAAACUUGAGAGCAGAAGAGGAAAGUGGAAUUCCAUGUGUAGCGGUGAAAUGCGCAGAGAUAUGGAGGAACACCAGUGGCGAAGGCGCCUUUCUGGUCUGUAACUGACGCUGGUGUGCGAAAGCGUGAGGAUCAAACAGG
rnacentral:rRNA from 1 species